rnacentral:rRNA from 1 species
CAAUAAGCGGAGGAAAAGAAACCAACAGGGAUUGCCUCAGUAACGGCGAGUGAAGCGGCAACAGCUCAAAUUUGAAAUCUGGCGCAAGCCCGAGUUGUAAUUUGCAGAGGAUGCUUCAGGGCAGCGGCCGGUCUAAGUCUCCUGGAACGGGGCGUCAUAGAGGGUGAGAAUCCCGUAUGCGACCGGCUGGCACCCGUCACGUAGCUCCUUCGACGAGUCGAGUUGUUUGGGAAUGCAGCUCUAAAUGGGAGGUAAAUUUCUUCUUAAGCUAAAUACCGGCCAGAGACCGAUAGCGCACAAGUAGAGUGAUCGAAAGAUGAAAAGCACUUUGGAAAGAGAGUUAAAAAGCACGUGAAAUUGUUGAAAGGGAAGCGCAUGCAACCAGACUUGUCGGCGGUGUUCCGCCGGUCUUCUGACCGGUUCACUCGCCGCCGGCAGGCCAGCAUCACUUGGGAGCGCCGGACAAAGGCGUCGGGAAUGUGGCCCUUCGGGGUGUUAUAGCCCGGCGCACAAUACGGCGCCUCCCGAGUGAGGUCCGCGCUUCGGCUAGGAUGCUGGCGUAAUGGUUGUUUGCGGCCCGUCUUGAAACACGGACCAAGGAGUC